GUAACAGAGUGCCACUGGGGAGGAGGAGGCAUACAUGGAGGGAAGGAGGAGGUACAGACCAAGAAGAAGAAGACUCAAAUCAAUCUCAGCCAUCCAGCUCCCACUGGACUCCAGGGAAGCUGUUAAGGUAAGGAGGGUGGCUAAAGUAUGUAAAUUGAUAGGACUGUGUGUGUUUAUGUCAGUGUGUGUGUAUAUCUGACUGUGUGUGUGUGUGUGUAUAUAUAUAUCUCUGACUGUGUGUAUGUGUGUGUGUGUGUGUGUGUGUGUAUAUAUAUCUGACUCUGUGUGUGUGUGUGUGUGUGUGUAAUAUAUCUGACUGUGUUUGUGAGUAUCUGACUGUGUGUGUGUAUCUGACUGUUUGUGUGUGUGUUUGUGUGUGUGUAUAUCUAACUGUGUGUUUGGGUAUCUGACUGUGUGUUUGGGUAUCUGACUGUGUGUGUGUGUGUGUAUCUGACUGUAUGUGUGUGUGUAUCUGACUGUAUGUGUGUGUAUAUCUGACUGUGUGUGUGUAUAUAUCUGACUGUGUGUGUGUGUGCAUAUAUCUGACUGUGUGUGUAUAUCUGUCUGUGUGUGUAUAUACCUGACUGUGUGUAUGUGUAUCUGACUGUAUGUGUAUAUAUCGGACUGUGAGUGUGUGUGUAUCUGACUGUAUGUAUGUGUGUAUCUGACUGUGUGUGUAUAUAUCUGACUGUGUGUGUAUAUCUGACUGUGUGUGUAUAUACCUGACUGUGUGUAUGUGUAUCUGACUGUAUGUGUAUAUAUCGGACUGUGAGUGUGUGUAUCUGACUGUAUGUGUGUGUGUGUCUGACUGUGUGUGUCAGUGUGUAUCUGGCUGUUUGUGCCAGUGUGUGUUUAUAUGGCUGUGUUUGUGUCAGUGUAUGUGUACCUUUGUGUCAGUGUUUAUGUAUCUGUGAUAGGCGUGCGCAGCCUAUUGCAUUAGGGUGUGCACCCUAAAGCACAAACACACGCCGUGUGUAUAUGUAUGUGUGUAUGUAUAUAUGUGUGUGUGUGUGUGUAUGUUUGUGUGUGUGUAUAUCUAACUGUGUGUUUGGGUAUCUGACUGUGUGUUUGGGUAUCUGACUGUGUGUGUGUGUGUGUGUCUGACUGUAUGUGUGUGUGUAUAUAUCUGACUGUGUGUGUGUGCAUAUAUCUGACUGUGUGUGUAUAUCUGACUGUAUGUGUAUAUACCUGACUGUGUGUAUAUAUCUGACUGUGUGUAUGUGUGUAUCUGACUGUGUGUGUAUAUAUCUGACUGUGUGUGUGUAUCUGACUGUGUGUGUGUGUGUAUCUGACUUUAUGUAUGUGUGUAUCUGACUGUGUGUGUAUAUAUCUGGCUGUGUGUAUAUCUGACUCUGUGUGUGUGUGUGUAUCUGACUGUGUGUGUUUGUAUCUGACUGUGUGUGUAUCUGACUGUGUGUGUGUGUGCAUAUCUGACUGUGUGUGUAUAUAUCUGACUGUGUGUUGAUAUCUGACUGUGUUUGUGUAUAUCUGACUGCGUCUGUGUAUCUGACUGUGUGUGUGUGUGUCUGACUGUGUGUGUAUCUGACUGUGUGUGUGUAUCUGACUGUGUGUGUGUAUAUCUGACUGUGUGUGUCUGUGUGUGUAUUUGACUGUGUGUGUGUGUGUAUUUGACUGUGUGUGUGUGUAUCUCACUGUGUGUGUGUGUGUAACUGACUGGCUGUGUUUGUAUCUGACUGUGUGUGUGUGUGUGUGUGUGUGUGUGUCUGACUGUGUUUAUGUGUGUGUGUGUGUGUGUCAGUGUGUAUCUGGCUGUUUGUGCCAGUGUGUGUUUAUCUGGCUGUGUUUGUGUCAGUGUAUGUGUACCUUUGUGUCAGUGUUUAUGUAUCUGUCAUAGGCGUGCACAGCCUAUUGCAUUAGGGUGUGCACCCUAAAGCACAAACACACGCCGUGUGUAUAUGUAUGUGUGUGUAUGUAUAUAUGUGUGUGUGUGUGUGUGUAUAUCUAACUGUGUGUUUGGGUAUCUGACUGUGUGUGUGUGUGUGUAUAUCUGACUGUGUGUGUAUAUAUCUGACUGUGUGUGUGUGCAUAUAUCUGACUGUGUGUGUAUAUACCUGACUGUGUGUGUAUCUGACUGUGUGUAUGUGUAUCUGACUGUAUGUGUGUAUAUAUCUGACUGUGUGUGUAUCUGAUUGUAUGUAUGUGUGUAUCUGACUGUGUGUGUGUAUAUCUCACUGUGUGUGUAUACAUCUGACUGUGUGUGUGUGUAUCUGACUGUAUGUAUGUGUGUAUCUGACUGUAUGUAUGUGUGUAUCUGACUGAGUGUGUAUAUAUCUGACUGUGUGUGUAUAUCUGACUCUGUGUGUGUGUAUAUGACUGUGUGUGUUUGUAUCUGACUGUGUGUGUGUGCAUAUCUGACUGUGUAUGUAUAUAUCUGACUGUGUGUUGAUAUCUGACUGUGUGUGUGUAUAUCUGACUGUGUGUGUGUGUAUAUCUGACUGUGUGUGUGUAUCUGACUGUGUGUGUGUGUGUGUAUCUGACUGUGUGUGUGUAUCUGACUGUGUGUGUGUGUGUAUCUGACUGUGUGUGUGUAUAUCUCACUAUGUGUGUCUGUGUGUGUAUCUGACUGUGUGUGUAUAUCUCACUGUGUGUGUGUAUCUACUGUGUGUGUGUGUAACUGACUGGCUGUGUUUGUAUCUGACUGUGUGUGUGUGUGUCUGACUGUGUUUGUGUGUGUGUGUGUCAGUGUGUAUCUGGCUGUUUGUGCCAGUGUGUGUUUAUCUGGCUGUGUUUGUGUCAGUGUAUGUGUACCUUUGUGUCAGUGUUUAUGUAUCUGUCAUAGGCGUGCGCAGCCUAUUGCAUUAGGGUGUGCACCCUAAAGCACAAACACACGCCGUGUGUAUAUGUAUGUGUGCUGCAUGACGGUUGUUUGAGGGUGUUGUGUGUGUAAGGGUGCGGUGUGUGUGUAAGGGUGCUGUGUGUGAGGGUGCUGUUAGUGUGAUGUGUGUGUGAGGGUGCUGUUUGUGUGCUGUGUGUGUGUGUGUUUGUUAGGGUCCUGUUAGUGUACUGUGUGUGUGAGGGUGCUGUGUGUGUGUUUGUGAGGGUGCUGUUUCUGUGCUCUGUAUGAGAGGGUGCUGUGUGUUUGAGGGUGCUGCAUGUGCGAGGGUGCUGUAUGUCUGUGGGUGCUGUAUGUGUGUGCUGUGUGUGUGUGGGUGCUGUAUGUGUGAAGGUGCUGUAUGUGGGUGCUGUGUGUGUGUGUGCUGUAUGUGUGUGUGUGCUGUCUGUGUGUGUGUGGUGUGUGUGUGUGAGGGUGCUGUGUGUGUGUGUGGGUGCUGUGCGUGUGUGGGUGCUGUAUGUGUGUGUGCUGUGUGGGUGCUGUGUGUGUGCUGUAUGUGUGUGUGUGCUGUGUGGGUGCUGUGUGUGUGUGGGUGCUGUGUGUAUGUGUGUAGGUGCUGUGUGUGUGCUGUAUGUGUGUGUGUGGGGGUGAUUGUGGGGGUGGGGGUACAUUACUUAAUAUCCCCCCUCCCUUCUUACCUUAUGUAGGGAGGGGGGAUCAUGCUGCUGCUUUCCCUGGUGGUCCAGUGGAGAGAGAACUCUAGCCCCUAUGGGGCUAGAGUUCACUCUUGCGAGAUCUGAACAUUGCCACGGCAACGCUCAGAACUUGCGAGAGGAACCCGGCGGAGCUGCUGGUUGAGCUCCCCGGUUCCUCUCCUGCCUCCCUCCAUGCUGCGGAUAGCGCUGGCUCUGCAUGAGCCGACAGGGGAGAUCCUGAGAUCUCCCCUGCCGCUUUCACUCCAUAGGCGUGCCGCGGGGAUUAGGGUGUGCCCAAGCACACCUAUGGUAUCUUUGUGUAUGUAUACCUGUGUGUCAGUUUGUAUGUGUAUGUGUACCUGCGUGUCUGUGUAUAUGUACCUAUGUGUGUAUAUGAGUGUCAGUAUGUGUAAGUGUGUAUCUAUGUGUGUGGCAAUGCAUACAUCCCAUCUAACAUUGCACACAAAUACACCCCUACAUUCCAACAUUAACAAUGCACACAAAUACACCACUGCAUGUGUAUCUGUGUUCCUGUGUGUAUCUCAGUGUUUUUGUAAGUGUGCAUCUGUGUGACAAUGCAUACAUCCCAGCAUUCCUACGCCAACACUGCACACAAAUACACCCCUGCAUGUGUACCUGUGUUUGUGUGUGUACAUAUCUGUGUCAGUGUGUGUGUGUAUCUCUGUGUGUGGAUGUGCCAGUGUUUUUAUCUCUGUGUGUGCAUGUGUAUUUAUGUAUGUGUCUGUGUGUGUAUACGCCAGUCUUUGUCAGUGUGUGCAUGUGUCCAGAUGUGUGCAUCAUACCAUCAUAUCAUUUUUGUAAUACCUUUUUUACACCCCUAUGUAUGUGUAUGUAUAUCUGUAAAUGUAUGUCAUACAUCACGGCAAUCAAACACAACAUGCAAACACACCCCUGCAAACAUUACAUACAAACACACCCCUGAAUUCAAACUCAAAAAGUAUAUAGAAACACAUCCCUACACUUAAACACCAAUACUACACCCUACAUGCACACACAUACUGUAUACAACAACAUGCUCACAUUCAAAUGCACAAACACUGCUCACAAAUACAGCCAUGCAAGAAUGGCCAAAUGGUAGAUCCCCAGCUGGCAUAGCAUUGUGGGAAUAGUACAACAGAAGAGGGUCUAUCUUUUCUCUGCUCUUGCGCUAGAGGGGAGGCUCAAAACAAUGUCUUGCACCAAGGCCCUGUCUACAUUAGUUCUGCCACCGUGUUGGGGUGGAGGGCGUGAUUGCAUGCCAGAGAGUGAAAGUGUAUGGGGGUGGGGGGGUGGAGGGCAGGAUCCAGGGGGCCCAAACAAAUGCUUGCCCAGGGUCCAAUCAAUGUUAAAGAUGGCCCUGACAAUAGCCCUAUGUAGAAUUCAAAUGUAGAACUUAUAGUAAGAAUAGUCUUAUGUAGAAAACAGAUGUAGAACAAAUAGUAAAUGUUAGCCUUAUGUAGAAAUCAGAUGUUAAACAUAUAGCAAAGAAUAGUCUUAUGUUGAAAUCAAAUGUAGAACAUAAAGGAAAGAAUAACCUUAUGUAGAAAACAGAUGUAGAACAUAUAGUAAAGAAUAGUUUUAUGAAGGAAUCAGAUGUAUAUCAGAUGUAUAUAGUUAAAGGGACUCCCCAGUGCUAGGAAAACAAUCCGUUUUCCUGGCACUGCAGGUCUCCUCUCCCUCCCACCUCAUUUCCCCGGUUGCUGAACCGGUGAAAACCCCUUCAAUCACUUACCAGAGGCAGCGACGAUGUCCCACGUCGCUGCUUCUUCCUCCGCCGCCGCUCCUCCCCUUCAUUACGUCAGCAAUGCCGUGCAUGCAUAUUAGAUCUCUCCAUAGGAAAGUAUUGAAAAUGCUUUUCAAUGCUUUCCUAUAGAGAUUUUAGCGACGCUGGAGGUCCUCACACAGCGUGAGGACGUCCAGCAACGCUAAAGCACAGAAAACCUGUGCUAUGGACCAGGAAGUGCCCUCUAGUGGCUGUCUAGUAGACAGCCAUUAGGGGAGGACUUAACCCUGCAAGGUAAAUAUUGCAGUUUAUGAAAACUGCAAUAAUUACAGUUGCAGGGUUAAGGAUAGUGGGAGUUGGCACCGAGACCACUCCAAUGGGCAGAAGUGGUCUGGGUGCCUGGAGUGUCCCUUUAAGAAUGGUUUUAUGUAGGAAUCAGAUGUAGAACAUAUAGUAAAGAACAGUCUUAUUUAUAGAUCAGAUGUAGAACAUUUAGUAAAGUAUAUGUUAUUUUAUUUUUUUCCUUUUCAAGCACAGAAAGUGCAACAUAAUGCUUAGUAGAGUACAAAGUAGCGUUGUUACAAUACAAACCUUGCAUAAGUCCAUUCUACACAUAUUUCACAAGAGCAUAAAGAAGAGAAAGGAAAGAAUUGGUAGUAGACCUGCCCAGGGUAAGGUAGAAUGAAUAACCAAACUAGAGUAAAAUCACAGAGCAUUAUAAUCCUCCCAUGGUUGCUAGAUCUUAUGAAAUGAAGACAUAGUAUUCCUAACUCUAGCUGUUAAAUUACCAUUAAAUGAUUGUCUUUUAACUUGAGCAAGGCUGCUACUAGUGUGGAGACUGUGUCUUGCAAACAGUUUUGUGCCAGCGCUAGUCUGGUAGCUAGGUUUACUUUACAUGUUGACAGAGGAAAAGUCCUCCAUCAGUUUUGAUACAAAAGGAAAGACAAAGGGUCUAGCGUUAAUGGUCUAUGGAAGAUGCUACUUAAGAGGUCUCAGAUGUGCUCCCAAAAUGAAAUCACUUUAGGGUGUGACCACCACAUGUCAGUGUAGGAGCUCCUGUCUCCACACCUCCUCCAAAUCUGUGGCAGUUUUACCCAUGUGAAACAAUUAACCAGAAGUUGUAUCCCAUCUAAAUAAGGUUUCACAUGUUUGUAAAUUAAGGCUAACAGACACAUUGGUAGUCAGAUAUCUUCCUAAUCACUCCCAUCUAAUCUCUGAUGUAGGUAGGCCUCCCAAAGGUAGUAAAGUAUAGUUUAUUUAGAAAUCAGAUAUAAAACUUAUAGUAAAGUAGAUUUUUAUUUAAAUAUCAAAUGUCGUUAUUAAGAUACAUUGAAUUCGCAAACCCAGCUUGGUUACUCACCAUUCUGUAAUUAAUGCAAAAUUGGAUUCUAAGGAUUUCCACAUUGAUAAGUUUCACAGCCUUUUUGAAAAUUCUGUUCAUGGAACUGCUUCUUUCUUUAAAAAAGUAUGGCAAAAUAUACAAACAAUAAAAAAACAACUUAUAAUAUACAACUUAAUGAAACCUUAAAGGAACACUCCAGGCAUCAUAAGAAAUCCCUCUAAAUUAAGUUGUUAUGGAGCCUGGGGGCCCCCUGGGUGCACUAUACCUCAAGGGGUUAAAUUGUUCUUGAAUGGUUUAACCCCUAACUUGCCUCCAGCAUUGACUCAACUGCCCCAGGCAGCAUCUGGCUUUUGAAAUUUCAGUUUCAAGAAGCAUAGAGUGCCGCUGAUCAGCUGGCUUGGAAAGCCAAUUACUGGUGCCUCUGCCUGGUGACUCUCCUCGCUUCUUAAAACUGAAAUUUCAGAAGACGAAUGCUUUGGAGUUAAACCCUAGAGGUAAGAGUGUACCCCAUAACACCCCUAAAUUGGGGUGUUUAGUUCUGCAUCCUGCUAAGAGGAACUCAAAUUAUUAGCUGUGUUAUGUAGUCAAGCUGUUAUUGAGUUUAAAUAACUUUUGUUUCUGACUUUUGAACCUUUUUGUAAUACCUUUUUUAUACAUUUUGCUGGGUGGGGUGAAAUAAUCAAUUACCUGGUGGUCCAGUGCGCUCCCUAAUUAUCUGAUCUGUAGCUGCGUUCUGUAUUACGCUCUCCCCUUUUUCUCAGGAACAUUCUCUAAACUUUAUGCAUGGGAAUGACCAUUCAGACCAUUCAGAGGCUUCUCAUUGAGCAGCCGUGUGGACAAGCUGUCCAAGUGUGUGGCUGUUUAAUCACAGACGUCUCAGUGAGCUUACAGCCCAUUGAGAAUCUUUUGCAAUGAAGGAACUGAAGUGCUUUAGGUGUUUGGAGUGUUCCUUUAGGAGAGCAUCUUGAUUGGCUGUGUUGCUUCCUGGUCUGAGCAGAGCUGACUGUAGAAGCUGCAAAGCCACCUAACGUACAUUUUCUCUUGUGGGUGGUUAUUACUUUAUUUGUUUUUCUGUUUUCUUUUUUAACAUAUAUAUUCUGCUGCUGUCACUGUUCAUUUGCAUCCCUCAAAGCUGGUCCUUUUUCUAGUUACAGUUCACAAAGACACAGACACUCUGCCAAUUCCUUUUCGAGACAGGUUUCCAUUUCCUGUGCGUUCUACACUGUUCUAGUGGUCAGAAGGAAGACUUUUAACCUCGGGCUAAUCUGACACAACAUUUAUAGGCAUGGCUCUAAGACACCACUAUUUAUAAACUACUAUGUCAUAGAAGAUUUUACAGUAUGUUCAGUUAUAUCAUUUUAAUAUUUAAUAUCUAUAUUCAUUCUUUAUACUGUUUUAUUGAUUAUAUGGUUUUAUUUAUCUUGCAAUAUUUCAGAAUGUGCACAAGGUAUUAGUAUACAGGCAGAAAUAUAAUUUUGUGACAUAAAGAAGAUGUGACCAAAAUACAUGAAAUACGCAUUGAAUGGCUAUGACCAAUUUAUGCGCUAUAGAAUUCCAUAGCUAGAUGGUAUUUAACAAUCUGAUGAUGUUUGUAGCAAUCCAGCUCCAAAAUAAUACCAACUGAAUGUUACAUAAAACUGAGUAAACUUGAGUAUAUUGUAAACAUGAGUAUAAUGUCCAUGUGCUGUGCAAUUACUCUAAACUAUGGUUGUAUAUAUAAAGAUAUGGGUGAUGUAAAUAUCUUACAGACAAUCCAUGUUCUGUGUUGAAUGGGGUCCCCAUCAAGAUUUACAUGCAGAUGUCUGUAUGCGUAAAAUUCUAAGAAUGUGUAUAUUUCUAUUCGUAAUGUAUUGUGUUUGGAUCUGUGAGUAUAGUGAGUGUAUGCAGUUGUGUAAAUGCAUGCAGGGUAAGAUAAUGUUAGAAUUGGUUAUGGUAAAGGGGUUAGGGUAUGAGAGGAGAUAACAUCGCAAUUAGUUUAAAAUAGGGAAUUUUGUGAUACGUUGAUUAAAAGCUUGAAAGGGGUUAUAGUAGUGGUAUACGGUGUGUUUAGAAAUAUUGAGUUUAGGAUUAGAUUUAGAGUUGGGUAAAAUUUAGUAUUGAAGAACAUGAGGAGUUUUGUUUUUAAGAGGAGUUUAAGGUUUGUAUUUUGAAUGCUUAAAGGAUCACUAUAAUGUCAGAAAUAAAAAUAUGUAUUCCUGACACUAUAGGUCUAAAUAACUGUUUUGCCCCUGCCCUCCCUUACUUCUGGUUAGAAAGGUGAUUUACUUAUCUUUUUCCAAUGUCGCACGAGUCUGGUCGUGGCUCCACCCCCUUGGCUGAGAUCAUCAAACUUGAAAAUCUCAGCCAAUCCAAUGCUUUGCAAUAGAAAUCAUUGGGAGGCUCUCACGCAUGCGUGCCAAAAUGCUGCUCUGUGCCAAUCAGCAUCUCCUCAUAGAGAUGUAUUGGCUAAAUGGAUCUCUAUGGGGAAAGUUCAGCGACUCCAUGCAAUGUGCUGCCCUACCCCAGGAAUCACAUCUAUUGAUCGUCUGAGUGUUGUUUAUAACAAUUUGAAUUGUUUAUAACAAUUUAUUCACAUCAAAGAAACCAUAAAGCCACACGCACAUAUUACAAAACACCAUAAAUAGUGCAAUAGAAGCAUGUAGGAUAAAAUGCAGAUAAAAUCAGCCAGAGCCUCUCACCCAACGCAUUUUGGCAACAAAAGACUUCCUUGGGGUUAUGCAAUCUGUAGAGUGAUGUCCUCCCAUUUACAUCGAGUGUCCCUUAAUAAGACCUUCCUCUGGUUUUUGCUGGCUUUUUCUUCCUAAUGCGCCAAUAUCAUGCAACUUCUUAUUAUGAGUUACACUUAUAUAUCCUGCAAUGUGCAACCUUAAAACUACCGUGGAUACUGCCGAGAACUGUUGUUCUGAUGUGCCUGUUUUCUGGCCUAAUGACCUACACCUUUACUUAUUGUUUUGGUCUGUAAGACCACAUAUCCUUUGUAGAAAAAUAAAAAUAAAAAAUCGACUUCUGUACAAAUUUAAAGAAUCAUAAAAUCUUAAUAUUUAUUUCAUGAUGAUCAUUACCAUCCCUUUCUGUUCUGCAGAAGUGAAAAAAGGAGCAUCUGUUGAUUUGAUAGCAGUAACUUGACUGUGCUAAAAGGAAUGCUGAAUCUUUGAGUCGCUGAAUCACUCCAUAAAACAAUGCUGUUAGCCUCUCUAUACACAACAUGAGUGCACCGUGUACAUUCAAGCUCUACAAACACUUUUCAAGAGUUGUUUUGUGUGUUUUUCUUUUUCCAUUUUGCCAUAAAUGUAUUUUAGUUACCUGUUGCUGGGCAGUGGUGGUAUACAGGGACACUAGAUAUUCAGGGAUUUUUAGAUACUUCACUUAAAGGACCACUAUAGGCACCCAGACGACUUCAGCUCAAUGAAUUGGUCUGGGUGCCAGGUCCCUCUAGUUUUAACCCUGCAGCUGAAAACAUAGCUGUGAUGCUUUGUACAAAUCAGUCAAUAAUUCCUGUAUAACGAAGUACUCACUUUAUUACAACAUAUAUGUGCUGUGUAUGUGUGAGGGUGUUUGUGUGUGUGUGUGUGUUGGUGAGGGUGCUGUUAGUGUGCUUUGUGUGAGGGUGCUGUGUGUUUGUAAGGGUGCUGUGUGUGUGUGUUUAUGAGGGUACUGUUAGUGUGCUGUGUGUGGUUGGGUGCUGUUUGUGUGCUGUGUGUGUAAGGGUGCUGUAUGUGUGUGUGUUGUGUGUGUGCUGUAUGUUUGUAGGGAUUGUGGGAGUGGAGGUAGGGGCAGAUUAGUAAAUAUCCCCCCUCCUUUCUUACCUUGUGUAGGGAGGAUGAUCAUUGCUGCCAUCCCUGGUGGUCCAGUGGAGAGUGAACUCUCGCAAGACUGAGCGUUGCCAUGGCAAUGCUCAGAUCUCGCGAGAGGAACCAGGCGGAGCUGCUGGCUAGAGCAGGUCCUCUCCUGCCUCCCUCCAUGCUGCUUUGGGCCGGUGAGGGAGAUAGUGCCAGCUCUGCAUGAGCCGACAGGGGAGAUCCUGAGAUCUCCCCUACCGGUCUCAAUCCAUAGGAAUGCCGCGGGGAUUAGGGUGUGCCCAGGCACACCUGCCACACCUUGUGCGCACGCCUAUGUGUGUCUGUUUUGCUAUUAUGUCAGUAUAGGUAAACAUUAACCCCUUAUGGACUGAGCCAAAUUUACACGUUUUGAUCAAAAUAAAAAGUAAACAAUUUGGAAUUGGACUAUAUGCCUGUUUAACCAUAAUUCACCUCUUUCAUAUUAAGUGCACACCCACUUAUUAUAUAUAAUUUUAUUCAGGAAAAUUAAAAAGGCUUUGCUUUUUUUUUAAAUUCUUUAUUUUUGUUGUGGAAGAUUUCCAUGGUUGUGGUGAUAGUAUACAAUUUCCAGCAGGGCCGGACUGGGAGAAAAAUUCGGCCCGGGCAUUUUUUUUAACACAGCGGCCCACUAAAAAGGGGGCGGGGCAGAGGAGGUGUGUUUUGUCAUCACCAAUGACAAACACGCCUCCUCUCAAAGUGAGCAUGUUGGUUCAAUGCUCUUCCAGGGCAGACCAUGCGCAGAGCUCUGCUGAAGAGCUCUAGCAUGAGAAAAAAGUCCUGUAUUUGUUCUGCACAGUGCAAGCAAAUUUAAUAACAUGCUUGCACUGUGUUUCCUUGCAACUUGUCUCUGGUGUCUCUAUAAAUGGAUACCAGGAGACAAAAGGCCAGGAAAGAGUAUUGUGCAUGUGUUUGGAGCCUGCUUGUGGUAUUGCAUGUGUGUAGAGUGAGCUGGUCGUGGUGUGGUAUUGUGUAAUAAGGUCGGUUUUAGUCGUGUUGUGUUUGUGGUGUAAUGUGAUGCAUAUGUGGCUCAGGGACCCCCUCCCGCCCGGCUCUGGAAAAGGGUUAAAACUUACCUUUUUCCAGCGCCGGGCGGGGAGCUCUCCUCCUCCGAUCCGCCCUGUCGGCUGAAUGCGCACGCGUGGCAAGAGCUGCGCGCGCAUUCAGCCAGUCGCAUAGGAAAGCAUUUAUAAUGCUUUCCUAUGGACGCUUGCGUGCUCUCACUGUGAUUUUCACAGUGAAAAGCACGGAAGCGCCUCUAGCGGCUGUCAAUGAGACAGCUGCUAGAGGCUUUGGGGGAAGGCUUAACCCAUUGAUAAACUGCUAUGUUUAUAAAACAAUGGGUUAACCCUAGAAGGACCUGGCACCAAGAGCACUUCAUUAAGCAGAAGUGGUCUGGGUGGCUAGAGUGGUCCUUUAAGAGUGUAGUGUGUGUGUGUGUGUGUGUAUAUAUAUAUAUAUAUAUAUAUAUAUAUAUAUAUAUAUAUAUAUUUGGAAGUAUUGUGUAUGUGUGUGGUGCAGUGUGUUGGGGGGGUUCUGUGUGUAUGUGAGGGGUGCAGUAUGUGUGUGUGUAAGGGUGCGGUGUGUGUGUGAGGGGUGCGGUGUGUGUGAGUGCCGUGUGAGAGUGCCGUGUGUGAGUGAUGGGUGUGAGAGUGCCGUGUGUGAGAGUGCGUGUGUGAGAGUGCUGUGUGAGAUGGGUGUGAGAGAGUGCUCUGUGAGAGUGCUGUGAGUGUGAUGGGUGUGAGAGUGCUGUGAGAGAGUGCUGUGUGUGUGUGAGAGUGCUCUGUGAGAGUGCUGUGAGUGUGAUGGUGUGAGAGUGCUGUGUGAGAGAGUGCUGGGUGUGAGAGUGCCGUGUGAGAGAGUGCUGUGUGUGUGUGAGAGUGCUGUGAGUGUGAUGGGUGUGAGAGUGCUGUGUGAGAGAGUGCUGUGUGUGAUGGGUGUGAGAGUGCUGUGUGUGAUGGGUGUGAGAGUGCAGGGUGUGAGAGUGCUGUGUGUGAUGGGUGUGACAGUGCUGUGUGUGAUGGGUGUGAGAGUGCUGUAUAAAUGUUAUUGUGUGUGUGUGUAGGGGGGGGUAAAUAAAAUUUAAAAAAAAACAAAACAAAAAAACAGUAAUUAUUCCCCCCCCCUCCCUUCUUACCUUUAGCCUGGGAGGGGGGGUCCGGCACGCUGGCAGGCGGGGUGGAGCUGUUCCCUGGUGGUCCUCGUGGGUGAGUGAACUCUAGCCAGCAUAGCCUGUGAGGCUAGAGUUCACUCUCGCGAGAUCCGGUCGUUGCCAUGGCAACGCGCCGGAUCUCGCGAGAGGAACCCGGCGGAGCUGCAAAUUAGAGCUCCGCCGGGUCCUCUCUCCAGCCUGGCUGGUUGGCUCCCUCUCUCCCCGCCGGCGGCCGCAUGUGGGCCGGUCAGGGAGAUCCUUGAUCUCCCCACUGGCCCGUCGUGGAAAACAGCGGGGCCGGCGCUAGGAGAGUGCCGGCCCUGCAUAGACCGGCAGGGGAGAUCCUGGGACCUCCCCUGCCGGCCUCGGCCCCACGGCCACCGCGGCCCACCGGGCAUUUGCCCGGUGUGCCCGAUGGCCAGUCCGGGCCUGAUUUCCAGUUAAAAAAGAUAUAAAGCAAACAUAUAAAGGUAUAAUACAAACAUAAGAAACAAGCGUCACCAUACUUUAGUGGUAUACAAUAGUCAAUUGCAACUGAGCAGAUGGGUCCCCUGUGGUUAGGCCAUUAGGUUACAGUGUGGGUCCCCUUAUGUGUCCCCAUGAGGUCCCCUCUUUUCUUUUCUCCUCAGUCGUGGGUGUCGUCCCUGUCCCACUAUUCGUUAGGUGUCUCUCCUGUUCUAUAGUGUGGUACAUGUGCCUGCUAACCCUUGCCCUUCUUCACUUCCUCCUCUCCUUUAGUCUCUUUUUCGUCACUUUUGUAUUCGGGUCACCCAGUUGUCUCUCAAUGUGUCCCCCGCUGCUAAUUGGCGGGGCAUAUCCGUGGACUGUCCCCUUGCAGUCAUAUUAAUGGGUUGAGAGGUCCCCCGAAUCCUGUGGUGGUUGUAGUGCCUGAUCGUGUUUCUGGUCCGUGUUUGUCACCCACUGGUGUCAUGUCCAUCUCCCCCGUUCCCUCUUCUGUGUUUCUCACGAAGGCCUUCUCCCCCGUCCAUUUUGUACCCCCGCUGUGGUCCCCCUCUAUCUUAGGUAGUUAGUGCCCGUGUCUCGGACCCGGGUGGGUAUGCUGGCAGCUCAGAUGGGUGACGUAGAACCCUACAGUCAGAUGCGGCCCGCCCGUGACACAUAUGGAGUGAGGCCAUAAACAUAAACAAUCAAGACAUAUUGGUAUGACACGUUUGCAGCUCCUGCGGGGCUGAGAAUGCCCAAUUAGGUAGAACUCCCUGACAGCACAAGUAGAGUGAGGAAUAUAUCAGUUAGCAUAACUCUCUAGCUACUCGCUUAGGACUAGGAAUUCACAAUUUGGUACAGCAUGGCAUCGCUUCGUGUAAAGUUAAGACUCUUUUUGGUACCACAUACUAGCUGCUCUUGUGGGGUUGAUUAAAAACAGGUUGGGCCAACCCUCGGACAGCUCAUAUAGAGUGAAUGGUAUGCAUGUUAGCAUAACAUUCUCGCAGCUCGCCUAAAGUUAAAAAAUAAACAGUUUUGAGUAGUAUAUCAUCUUCUUUAGGGCCGCCCUUGGACAGCUGGUGCAGAGUUAAAGAUAUGCAUAUUGGUAUAGCUCUCUCGCCUAGAAUUUACCGUGAACAGUUUAAAGUAACCCCUCGUGUGGAGUUUGAAAAAACAAAACAAAAAAAAACCAACUAUAUGGUAUAACCUUGUAACAUCUCGUAUGAAGUUUAAGAUCUGGUGACCUGUAAUGUCUCAAUGUCUCAUGUAGAGUUUAAAGUCUUGCAGUCUGGUGGUUUGCAGUAGCAGUUCAUAUGGGGUAAGGGCAGUCCUUUCGGCUGCGAUCUCUCUUCAGGGCUAUCCGCACUAUGGAGGUUGCUUUUGUGUAGACUGCCGUUCUGCCGCCACCAUGCCAGUUUUUUCUCCCCUCUCGGUGGGGAGUUUCUCCGUGGGGUGAGCUCGGUUCUCUCCUAGUGGAUCAGGCUGCAGCUGCGGUAACUGAAGUCGCCUCAGAAAGUGCGUGGGGUCAUCUGUGACGGAGAGCGAAAGCACCGCUUCCCCGUGUGAUACCACCAGGGUACCCGACUCUCCCCAACUGUACCUGAUUCCGUGGUCUCUGAGCAGUUUGGUGGUUGGCAUGAAUUUGCGUCUCUCCAACAGGACCGCAAACUAUAAGUCGUCAAAGAUUCUGACUUGGUAGCUAUCCACAGCGGAUCGCCGUUUUCAACGCUGUGCUCUGAGUGACAGCGAUUAUGUCCCUAGGAGCGUCCACUGGGGCCGUCGCGGCCUCUCGGAUCCGGAAUGCCAUCGCCAUAAACGGCAGCCCUCCCUCUCCCCUCACCUCCAUCACUGUAGCCAGUUUGUUAGCGAACUCCAGCACCGCUUCAGGCCCUACUGUUUCGGGCACCCCACGGAUGCAUAUAUUUUUCUUGCGGUGUCUAGCCUCCAUGGCCGUGACGGUACGGGUGAGUCGCUGGAGCUGCUGGGAGAGGUCCUCUACAUUAGCUCGGGUCUCUGCGAGGGUGUUAUUCCUCAUCUCGGGUCUCUACUGCUCCAAUGAGGGCCUUGAUGCCGCCUAGUUCUCCGCGGACCUCAUCCAGGACCUUCUUCCAGACUCCUCUGAGCUCGAGCAGGAGCCUUUUUUUUUUUCAAUUUGACAAUUUUUAUUUGUCUUUCAUAGGAUGAUGGGGUACAGAAGGAAAAGUGGGAUGGGGUAAACAUUAAUACAUGCAUAAUAAAAUGAUACAGAGGAGGUGUUGUAAUAUUGAUUAUUCAUUUGACACACUAGGCAUAUUUAGGUGUUUUUCUGUUGUACGUCUUACACAGUUGGUUGCUUAGUGGUCUUUGUCUAGGAACAUUCCUGUCUAGUGGUGGAGGACCCACUCCAUUAUGUUUCGGUGUCCGCUCUCAUUAUACUAGGGGGUGUAUAGUUUGAUUAUCGAGCAAGGGGAUCAUUAUGUGUCAGAUGUGACCCGAGCGUUGCAAUUAGAUUAGGACAGUUUCACCUUAUAGCGUGAGAAUCUUCUCCCCUAAAUUUGUUGUGUGUUUUUUUUUUUUUUUCAGGUUUGUAUUGUUUAUGCAUACAAUAUAGCGGGGGGUACAGAAAAGAAGAAGGGGAGGGUGAGCGGUUAGGGUACAUUAGUCAUCUUCAUAUUUAUACAUGUUAGACAGUCCUAAUGAGCUUGAUCUUAUAUGGGUGGAGUUUUGUUACUAGUGGGGUGGGUCGGGGUCCAGCCAUUCGACCGAGCAGGAGCCUUUUGAUAUCCCCUUUGGUAGAGGGUGAUGUAUCUGAAUCAGAGUCAUCUCUCCUGUAUAUACCACUAGGGGCUUGUGUUGAUUCUGGUGCCUCCUCGUCCGGGGACAUCUCUGACUCACUGGAGCCUCGAGGCCUGCUAGGCGCCAUCUUAGGCUGUGCUGGCUGUUGCGGCCUAUCGAACGACCACCUAAUGUCUGGCAUUUUGGAAGCCUCAGAAGCAAGCAUGUUUGCGCCCCAUCUCUCUUUUGUUGGGUUCAGGGUUGCCAGGAGCCUGGUUGUGGCGUUAGUCUGCAGGCUUUUCGUUGCCUUUUAAUGUGUUUUUUUAGUUGAUUUUCCAGGAGCUCCCUGUACACACGUCUGCUUAGAUGCUCAGCUAGCCACGCCCCCCCAAGGCUUUACUUUUAACAUCAAAUAUUUAGCUAUGAAACAUGAUUUAAUAUGAAUAAAAUAUAAAAAAAAAUGUAAGAAAUUAAGAAAUAUUAUUUUUUUAGUUCUGCGUGACAUUUUAACUGUGAAUGUCAUAUGCUUUUACUGCAAUAAAAUACACAUAUUUAUAUUCAGCGAUGUCUCCUGUGUAAAACAGUACCCCCUAUGUACAGGUUUUAUGGUGUUUUGGGAAGUUGCAGGGUCCAAUAUAGCAUUUUACAUUUUUCAGUUUUUUCACAUUGAAAUUCGCUAGGUUGGUUAUGUUGCCUUUGAGACCGUAUGGUAGCCCAGGAAUGAGAAUUACCCCCAUUAUGGCAUACCAUUUUCAAAAGUAGACAACCCAAGGUAUGUAUAUUAUCAAAAUACAGUUAGAUGAAAUUACACACACACACACAUAUAUAUAUAUAUAUAUAUAUAUAUAUAUAUAUUCUAAUUAUUUAUUUUUAAUUUUUAACAUAUUUAUAUAUUUAUUUAAUUUAUAUUAUAGUUAUAUAUAAUUAUAUAUAUAUAUAUAUUUAAUUAAUAUCAUUCUACGUGUAUUUUGAUAUCAAAAUAAAUAUAUAUAUGUGUGUGUGUAUAUUAUUAAAAUACACUUACAGUGUAUGUGUAUAUAUAUAUACUUAGAUCAUAUACAUAAUAUAUUUAUAUAUAUAUAUAUAUAUAUAUAUAUGAUCUAAGUAUAUAUUGUUUUAUUUUAAACUGUAUUUUAACUUUAUUUUAAUUUAUUUCAGGCAGCAGGGGGACUACCUGUCAUUCCAGGCACUCCCCCUGCUGGCACUGCUAUGGACGGCUAUUCCAUCCAUGUGAUUGUGAGGUCCUCGCAAGGACCCUCACGAUCACAUGGCCCAGGAGGGCCAGAUCAGAUGUAGGGGGACUGCUUGGGAUGCCAGACAAGUCCCCCCCAGGUAAGUGGCCAGGACGGGAGAGACACCCACCGGCGUUUAGAGCCAGGUCCUCAAGGAAGGCAUAGCAUGCCCGCCAUCCUUAAAGGGUUAAUAAAGUUGUUGUUUUGUUUGUUUUGUUCUAUAUUAAUUCUUAGCAACUUUAGUAUGGGGAAGUUACCCUGUGUAGCGGUACUUACCUUAUCGGGGGGCAGGCCGAGGUCUUCAGUUCCCGCCGCACGCGGCUCGCUCGGGGCUCGGAUGACGGCGGGCACUGACCGCGGGAUGCGGUCACGUGUCCCGCCUAGCUCCAAGAGCGCACCCCGCGUCUCGGGCACGCUCUUAAAGGGAAAGUGGAAGCCGAAAACUAAAGUGGUCUCCCAUUUUGGGGGCGUGGAUAUGACAGGGGCCAAUCAAAUUAAAUGCAAGGGUAUUUAUACUUACCUCUCCCUUAACUCCCUGCCCUAUCGUGGUUUCUGUUUCAGUUCCCUUUAGCGCUUGUUUUGUUCAGUUGUAAUUUUUCGUACUUGACCUUGGCUUUGUAUCUGACUCCAUUUAUCUCUUUAUCCCUGUUUUGUCUUGUUUGCCGGCUUACUGAUUACUGUGUACCAGACCUUGGCUAGUUCUUGUUUUCGCUGUCUCUUUGUACCCUUGACCUCGGAUCGUUCUUGACUCUGUAUUUCUCUGCUCUACGUCGAGUCCGGCCAUUCUAAGGUCCGGUAAGACGUAUCUGCUCUAUAUUGUCAAUUGUUGGACUAAAUCUUGCGAGUUGGGGUAAACUACCGUGACACCCUGCCAAGCUCACUUAUAAGAAACAUCUUUUUGCCUUACUCUUAAGUUUUCUGACUAAUUAGGGGAUUAUACCCCCCAUUUAUUUUUGUGUUUCAUUUCUGAUUUUUUGUAAGCUCCACUAGUUCUUUUCAGAUUGAAAACAUACCAGAGCACCAACGUGCAUGCAAAACCGUGGGGCCCUGUUUCUAACCUUCUUUUGUAGGAGAAUAUGGCUAGCUCUAAGUAAAGCCAUGGGGGCGGGUUUAACUAUUUGCCGUGGGAUGGCACCAUAACCACUAAUGUGGGCUGUAGUGGUUAUGUGGCAUGGAGUGUUUUUUGAUGUUUUACUGUUGUUAUGUUAACAUAGCACAGCUAAAUGAUUAUGAUAUAGAUAGUAGCAAGAUAUGCUAGGAUUGAAAAGCACUAUGGUUAUAGCUCUUACAAAUGUGAGUUGGCACUUUUUUACCUCAGGGUUGUCUGUAACGAAAAAAAUUGACAAAGCAGAAUGAAAAAUAAAGGACAAACAAAGACUGGAUUCCAGUACACAUUCAGGUUACUGAGUCACUAAUUCCCUUAGGGACGAAAGGGUUGACUCUGGAGACGGCCCAGGUAUGACUUGUGCCCGGUGUGUCGGCCUGCUCCUGCAGGUUUAGUGCGUGGAGGAAGGCCGGUCCCUCUGAGGGUCCUAGGGCUUUAAAAAGCCUUUCCGUUUUGGAUGACCAUGAGAUCUCUGGGGAAGGACCACCGGUAAGGGAGUCCAGCAGCUUUUAGGGUUUUUGUUAUUGGCUGCAUGGAUUUUCGCCACAGUAAAGUGGCUCUGCUUAAAGGACCACUCUAGGCACCCAGACCACUUCAGCUUAAUGAAGUGGUCUGGGUGCCAGGUCCAGCUAGGGUUAACCCAUUUUUUCAUAAACAUAGCAGUUUCAGAGAAACUGCUAUGUUUAUGAAUGGGUUAAGCCUUCCCCUAUUUCCUCUAGCAGCUGUCUCAUUGACAGCCGCUAGAGGCGCUUGCGUGCUUCUCACUGUGAUUUUCACGCGUGCGCAUUCAGCCGAUGGGGAGGAGAAGAGGAGGAUCGGAGGAGGAGAGCUCUCCGCCCAGCGCUGGAAAAAGGUACGUUUUAACCCCUUUCCCCUUUCCAGAGCCGGGCGGGAGGGGGUCCCUGAGGGUGGGGGCACCCUCAGGGCACUAUAGUGCCAGGAAAACGAGUAUGUUUUCCUGGCACUAUAGUGGUCCUUUAAGUCCUGGAAGAAUCGUGUUUGCGAUUCAAAUUGUAGUGGAAUCUUCCCCUUUGGGGCACUGAGGAGCCUUUGCUUCUCGGCAAGGGUUUGGCAACACAUGAUGUCGCAGGGAGCCUUAUUCGGUGCUUGCGAGGAUUUGGCUAUUCGAUAUACUCCGUCAAAGGCAGAUUAUGUAGCAUUUUUUGCAGGUAAGACUGAGGAGGCUAGGCGUCUGACGAAGUGGGUACGUUCCUCAGGUGGGAGUGAGUCCACCACUCCACGGAUCUUAAUAUUUCUAUUCUGCUCUCUGUCCUCUAACUGUGCCAUCUGAAUACUUUGGUGUGAUUGUGCGGCUUGAAGUAGUUGCACUGUCUCACUCAUGGAAGUCAGUCCCUGCUUCAGAUCGUGAAGGUCUGCCUCGGUUGUUUGUACCCUGUUUGUUACUGUUUGUACGGCCCUUAUCUGAACAGAGAACAUUUGUGUGAUGUUGUCGUGCGGUAACACUUCCGGGUUCGGCACUCCGCUGUGCGGAGCCGGAUCCGCCCCCCUCUGACGCAGCUCUGACGGUAUUUAGGGAGACCGCGCCAGAGAGAGGGGGCUUGGUGAGACUGGGAGCUACUUCCACCAGACUUACCUCUCCGCAGGCUCUGGCAAUGUGGGUCCUACUUCCGAGUAUGCACACCGGCUUCGGGGACACGCCGGCUCUACAAGCUCUGAAGUCGUCCUAGCCUUCUGGGCUAAGACAAGUCUGCUUCAUGCCACAGAGGAUUACUGGAGAAUAGAAACUCACUUACUUUACAAGUGGACAAUAUCUCUGAACUAUUGGAGGACUACUCACAUUAACCUUAAGUAUAUCUUUCAGCUAUUUGUCUACAAUAUCAUUUGAUAAUGAACUAAUGCUUGCUUACUUAAAUCUUCACUGCUUCAAGCUACUAAUUAUAUGGAGGACAACUCCCAUCAUGCUUAUUAACUAUGAACUGUUCCAGCUUUUCAAAUACUCUCAACAACUUGCUUAAAGUUAUUUUUGAAGAUUAUUCUCAUGAACUUAAAGAAUGUUACUUAAUGCAUCCCUGAGGAAAUACUUAUUAAUGAACUUUGUGUUGUUGAUUACUUGCACUUCUUCUUAUUGGAUUAUUGCCUAAAUGCAAUCCAUUUAAGUUUAACACUUAUUAAAACUUCGUUUGAAUCAGGUUACCAGCAAUUCUCUCUUUUCUUAAAGCUACAGUAUUGAUACUUUAAAGAUUCUCUGUUUCUUCACUAUUGUAAUUAGGGAGUUUUACAAGCUGCAGUUGAGUUCCAAUCCAAAUCACCCAAGUAGCGUAACAGAUGUGUACUAGCAGGUUAUAUAUGUCCUGCUUGGUGGACAGUGCGUUACCAUCAGCUAUUGCCGGGCCUCUGGCAUGGAGAGCAUCUCUGCACAUGGGUCGCUUGCGGUUUCAGGGCUUGGUGGUGUUGCCUCUCUGAUUCUGGAUGUCAGCAUUUGACUGAUGUCCUGGCCCUCUCUGGUGGAGGAUUGGGCCGGUUUCUGUGAUUUCCACCGUUGGAGAGGUGUGGCUGCAGUAUUCAGGGGUUGCAAUACUCUCUGGGCCUUUCCCGUAGGUGGCACUGUGCAGCCGCAGGCUUCUUAUGCAAUUGGCCCGAAGACCUCUAAGCCGGUUUUUACCAAUCAUGAGAAAAAUUAAGGGCAUCUGCUGAUUCGGUAUCACCUCCCUGAGUUGUUGGAGGUAGUUACACAUUGUAGUCUUUAUUUUCUGCAGUGUUAGGGGAGAUUAUGUCCAGGUUGUUCUCGUAUCUUUGGGAAGGUGCGUCUGCCUUGGAGCACUGCAAAGCUCUGCCCCAGACAGUCGCCAUUUUAAAUGGUUGAGUUGGCUAAGAGGAGUUGCGAGAUUAGCUCAAAGCACCAGGUAAAUGCUGCUGAAAGCUGGGGCUCCCGAAAGAGUAAAAUAACAAUCAAAGUCUCCCUUUGUAUGUCUGGGGAUCCCCAAUCAGCAUAGCCCCUUUUAGCAGGUGAAAUAGCUCCUUGGCUAUGAUUAGCAACCCCAACUCAGCUACAUAAUCAGGAGCUCAGGCGAUGCAUGUCUGUUCUGCUUAAGGGGCUAGAUUCCUCCCUCCCCAAAACAUUUUAAUCUGGCAAUGUUUCAACCCAAAUUGGUCUAUGUCAAGCCAUGGUUACUGCCAGGUUUACUGUUUCAUGAUGGAAAAAAUAAUCUUUGAAAAUUGACUUUUAGUGUUGUGACUUUUUAUAUCUUUAGUCCCUUAAUCCAUGCAUGUGAAAUACAGAAAAGUAUGGAAAAGUAAAGUUAAUGGCUAUUUUAACUUUUUCAUUUUCCUUUUCCAUUUCCUUCAAUUCACUUUUUAGUAAAUAUACCUUUUAGUAACAGUUUCUAGUGUAGUGAUGUACCUCACUACAAUGGCCAUUUGAAUAAACAUUCCAGCUUCCUCUGUAGGAUAAAAUAGUUACAUCACAGAUACAUUUUGAUCCUGAUUACAGUUUCAUCUGCAGCAUACCAACAUUCUUCAUUGUUCUGUUAUGCAAUGUUGUUUAAAUCUUUUUUUUACAUCUCUCUGUUUUUCUUCCAAGUUGUUAUAUAAAAAAAAAAGGGGACUGACACCUUUGCAUUAAUGGUUCAAUCUAAUGGCUAACUAAAAUCUAAAAUUCUUUUCAUUUUAAAGUUUAUUGCAGAUUUUAAGCUUGAGACACUGCUGCGGUGCUGCUGUCAUUUCAGGACGGAUGAAUCCUGCAUGGAAACAUUUUAAAAGAUCACGUGUAACAAGAAAAGAAAGGAGUGCAAUAUAUUUAUUACAUUUACUGAAACAAGUAUAUAAUCUCAUAUUGUCCUUGUACAGCCUGGUCUGCAGGGCAAGUAUUUAAAGGUCUAUUAUUCAUAUGCACAUACACAAAAGAGCGUAAGGCUCUAGUGCAGUAGGAAUCCAUUGAAACUAUAUUUUCAGACAGGGCUGGCAAUCAGAUUUGUUGGGGCCCCUUACACAGUCAACCAGCCUGCCCACAAAGAUGCAGUGUGAGUUUAGUGAAUGUGGUGUGUGUGGUGAAUUUAGGAUGUGUAUAGUGGAUGCAGCAGUGCAAAUUAAGUUAAUUAUCUUAAUUUAUUUCUAUGCAGCUAUUAAAUCCCAAGUGUGCUGUAUAUAAUUCUGCCCUUCUCCCUUCACAGGAAGAGGACAUCAUUUUGACAAACUGAUGCACUAUCAAGUGAUGAACCUGUGUAGUUCCCAUACGUAUUUUUUUUUAGGACUUAACCCAUAGAUAUGUAGGAAAAAGAACAAUUGUACUCAUGCCUUCAUUAUCCAUCAUAGAAAAAUGUCCUACUACCAUAUAGGGCAGCAGAAAUAAAUGUAUUUGUUCUCAAUUCUACCCAUCAUAUGCAUGAAAUUUAUUUACUGUGUAGUGUAGUUUACUGAUGUGUGCUGUUAGUUCAAAUGUAGGUCCCAAUUUGAUUUAAAUAUCCUUUAUAAAGUUUCAGUAAUAAACAAUCAUUUUGUGUAAUGGAGACACAUUUAUUUCUUUAGCUUUAUUUAGUAUUUUUCUGAGGGGGAAUAAAAUAUGAGACAUCAACACAACGGCAUGUGUCUCUAGUUAGGUUUAAAUUCCAACUCCUGGUUAGAAGAACUGGUGCAAGAGAAUAUUUGAUGGAGGUCUGAAAAACUCAAGUUGCACAAAAAUACAUUAGUAUAUCGUAUGCGCAACUUGUCAAAAUCAAAGUGAAACAUCCAGUUCAAGCAUCAAGCAUUUAAAAAUCAGAUAUUGCUAGUGUAAUAGAUCCCUGACAGUAACACUGUCUCUGUUUCCAUUGCUGUGUGAAUAUUGUGUGCAAUACCUAAAUGUUGCUAGCUAGGGAAUUUGUAUGUAUUUACACAUAUCUACAUACCAUGGCAAUUGCGGUCAAAACUUGGUAAAAUGUAUUAAUUGUUCUCCUGAUCCCCUACCCAUCCUUUUGAAAAGUGAUAGUUUAUUGCAUAGCUGUUACCUAUGUGCAAUUAUAUUGUUUUGGUUGUGUCACCAUGAGUUGAAUGUUGUUUUGUUGGAGGCUAGUCCUCGUGUUCAAUAAAAUAUUUUGUUUAUAUAGUUGUUUUUCCUACUCAGCAGGUGUGUUUUCUCUGUUAUUUGGGCGGCAUUGUGAUAGAGUUUGUAAACAUGUGUACUGAGAGCUUAAUCGCUGGGGCCUGUAAGCCAAAAGUGUCUUUGUAAAGACAGCGUUGGGAGCAGCCAGAGUAAUUAGUUACUGCCUGGAAGAAGGAUUGAGCAAAGUAGGUUAUAUGUUCUUGUUGGCAAGCCCUUAUCCUGAAACAUUGUGGUGGUGGUGGUGGUGGUGGUGAUGUAUGGAACAGACAGUGUGGUGGGACAGAUUUAAUCUGUUCUGGUUACAGCCCAUAACAUCAAACUGUGUCACUAACCAACUGAGAGGAAAGUAUAAAACUACAGUUCAAUCAAGUACUUGUUUGUCAAGCUAAAGCAAAGUGCUUGUGGCAGAGGUUAUAGUACAGAGAAGAAGAAGUAAGAAUGUACACCUGAGGUACAAAAAAAGAAUGUUAGAGAAGAGAGUUACAUACACACAAAUGGGCAGAGGAGGACCCAGAGAGUAGGGGAAGAGAGGAAGGAGCAGACAGAGAGCUUUAACCAGAGUUUUAUAAGCCUCAGACUCCCAGAUCACAUGGCUGGACUCCAGGGAAGCCACCCUCCUGCACCCAAUAGGUAUGGAAACAGGGGGUGGCUAAAAUAUGUAAGUUAUGUUUUAGUUAGUAUGCAUAUAUCUGUCUGUGUCAAUGUAUGUCGGUGUCAAAAUGUGCGUCUCUGUGUGUCAGUCUGUUAAGUAUCUGUGUAAGAAUAUGUAUGUCUGUGCAGGGCCGGCCUUAGGCCUUUAGGCGCCCUGUGCGAAAAACCUUCACAGCUCCCCCCCCUGUCAUCCAUGUAUAGUAUGUGUGUAUAGGAAUGUAGUGAUUGUAUAGGGGAUUUAUUAAAUUAAUAAUGAUUUAAAAACAAAUAUUCAUUCCUCCUUUCCUGUUGUUACCAUAGGCGUGCGCAGCCUAUUGCAUUAGGGUGUGCACCCUAAAGCACAAGCACACGGCGCAUAUAUAUAUGUAUGUAAAUACAUGUUUAUAUAUAUCAGAACAGGGGGUAGAGUCAGCGCUAAUCGGGAAGGCAGCAGUCCCAAACAAGGACUCCCUCUAGUGUCCUUGAAAAUCAAUGAUAAAGAGCAAGAAAGGAUGAGGGGAUGGGUCUGCGCCGAUGUGUACACUGAGUAUUGAGUCCAAUAGGAUGUAUAUUAUCGUGUACAAAGUUCUACUUUUGGUGGUAUCCAGAAGAUGUCGGUGUCGUGGAGAGUAGUCCAAAUAUGUGAAAAAUAGGAAAGAUCUUACUUACAAUUUGCAGAGCUUAAUCCAGCUCUGGUGUGGAUAGCUUGCAGCGGUAUUAUCCCCGCUUAUAGGAUAUACGGCAGGUGUCCUCUUCUUUGUAGUGCCGGGUGGUCGAAGUUGGGAAAAAUAAAAUAAAAACAGUAAUGGUGCAGUAUAUUCUACACUUGUAUAAAAAAUUAUAUAAAAUAUGAUGGAUACACUCACAUUCGGUAGAGCUUUGACUAGCUCUAGUUGGUUAGGCGUACAGCGGUAUCAUCCCCGCUUCUAGGAUAUAUGAUGAGUGAUCUUGACCGGAAUAUCAGGAGCUCAGAGAGAAAGUAAAACAGCAAUAGUGCUCUCAAUAAAAUCUUGAUAAUAAAAUAAAAUAGAUAAAAUAUACUCACAAUGUAUAGGGCAGGCUAACUGCUCUAUGUAACAGCGUGGGUGGUAUGAUCCCCACCUGGGAUUCUUGGAGUAUAGUUUUCAGGACUUUAAAAAAAUAAUAAAAGAAGUAUAUAGUAUAAAAUGUAUAUAAAACGUAUAUAAAAUGUUUAUAAAAUAGCCAGGUAAUAGAAAAGAUGAUGGUUUAAACGUAAAAAUGACCAAAAUCUUUUAUUAACAGUAUAUAAAACAGUAAAAAUAUCCAAACGCGUUUCGCCAAUAUAGGGCUUUAUCAAUGNNNNNNNNNNNNNNNNNNNNNNNNNNNNNNNNNNNNNNNNNNNNNNNNNNNNNNNNNNNNNNNNNNNNNNNNNNNNNNNNNNNNNNNNNNNNNNNNNNNNUGUCUGUGUAGUGUGUGUAUGUAAUGCAGUGUGUGUGCCUGUGUAGUGUGUAUGUAAUGCAGUGUGUGUAUGUAAUGCAGUAUGUGUGCAGUGUGUGUUUGUGUAGUGUGUGUUUGUGUAGUGAUGUAAUUUGUGUAAUUUUUAUUUUAAUUUUUUUUAAUAUUUAAAUGUUUUUUUUUUUGUUUAGUCCCCCCCCAGUGUGUGUUUGUGUAGUGUGUGUUUGUGUAGUGUGUAUGUAAUGCAGUAUGUGUGCAGUGUGUGUGUAGUGAUGUAAUUUGUGUAAUUUUUUAUUUUAAUAUUUUUUUAAUAUUGAAAUGUUUUUUGUUUAGUCCCCCCUCCCUGCUUCUUACCAGGGAGGGGGAUAUAGUAUUCCCUGGUCCAGUGGUUUUGAGCGGCACAGUGGUUAGCGGGAUUAUUUGUGCAGCUCAGUCUGCGUACCCGUCGGUACGCUGCUGAGCGCCGCUGCUGGCGGUCUGCGGGUAACGCCUUCAAGGCCAGCGUCUCGCGAGAUUUAUACAGAGCUGCAGGAGCUAAGCAGGUGGGUGCCGCGCUUUGCUGCUGAGCCUACAGGACCGCCGGGUUUGUGGGCCGGGCCCGGCGGUCCUGUUAUAUAUUAUCGGCAAUAUCGGUAUCUGAAUUGGCCGAUACCGAUAUUGCCGAAAAUACCAAAUAUCGGCCGAUAAUAUCGGCCAGACCGAUAAUCGGUCGAUCCCUACUGUGUAUGUGUGUUGGUGCUGUAUGUGUGUGGGUGCUGUAUGUGUGUGCUGUAUGUCUGUGGGUGCUGUAUGUCUGUGGGUGCUGUGUAUAUGUGUAGGUGCUGUGUAUGUCUAUUGGUGCUGUAUGUGUGUGGGUGCUGUGUAUGUCUGUGGAUGCUGUAUGUGUGUGCUGUAUGUGUGUAGGUGCUGUGUAUGUCUGUGGGUGCUGUAUGUGUGUAGGUGCUGUAUGUCUGUGGGUGCAGUGUGUGUGUGUGUGGGUGCUGUGUAUGUCUGUGGGUGCGGUGUGUGUGUGUAGGUGCUGUGUAUGUCUGUGGGUGCUGUAUGUGUGUAGGUGCUGUGUAUGUCUGUGGGUGCUGUAUAUGUCUGUGUGUGCUGUAUGUGAGGGUGUGUGUGCUGUAUGUGUGUGGGUGAUUGUGGGGGUGGAGGUGGGGGAACAUUACUUGCUAUCCCCCCUCCCUUCUUACCUUAUGCCUGGGAGGUGGGAUCCUUGUUCCUGCUGCUUCCAUCCCUGGUGGUCCAGUGGAGAGUGAACUCUAGCCCCUGUGGGGCUAGAGUUCACUCUCGCAAGAUUUGAGCAUUGCCGUGGCAACGCUCAUAUCUCGCGAGAGGAACCCGGCGGAGCUACUGGCAAGAGCUCCGCCGGUCCUCUCCUGCCUCCCUCCCUGCAUGUGGGUCGGUAGGGAGGGAGGCUGAGAGCAGAGCCGGCGCUUGGAUAGCGUCGGCUCUGCAUGAGCCGACGGGGGAUCCUGAGAUCUCCCCUGCCAGUCUCAAUAUACAUAGGCCCAGGCACACCCCGUGCGCACGCCUAUGGUUGUUACCUAGUUUGGAGAGGGGCAUGCUGAUCUGAAUCUGGUCUGCCCCUCCACUGAGUGCAGACCAUGCGUAACUGUCUCGCAAGCUUAGGGACUUGCAGUGUCCUGUGGUAAUCUAUGGCAGCACUCUGAUUGGCCCGAGCUAGUAAGACCGCUACUUAUGGUCUGCAGCCAACAGAAGUGCAGGUCAGAAGUGCCAGACUGCCUCCCCUACAUUACAGAGGAGCAGACUAAGUAUGUCACACAAUACUGUGUGUGGUUUUGCUUGUGAGCUGUGGAUUAUACUUAUUUACCUUGACCUCUUUGGAAUAAAAAUUUGUAGUAAUGCGCUGUUUCUCCAUUUAUCACUGAGCUCCACAGAAACAAAAAGCCCUCACAGUACUAUGUGGUGUGUGCCGGUUUAUUACAGAACUCCACAACAAUAAAACUCACGGUAAUGUGGAACUCUGUGACAAGCUCAAACACUACACAACAAUACAACUCCAAGUAAUGUGCCUAUUAGUGUAUCACCGAGCUCCCUAACUAUAAAACACAGAGUAAUGUGCAUUUUAUAUACCAGAGCUCCACUGUAAUACAUCUCACUAUAAUGUGAUGUAAUGUUUGUGUUUUAUCUGUGUAUGUGACAGGUGUGAUGACUGUGUGUGAUAUGUAUGCCAGUGGCAGAUCCAGAGCCUGAUCUCGGGAGGGGCACUUGUAGAUUAUUUAAAGAAAUAAUCCAGACACAAUAACCACUACAGCUCAGUGUAGUGGUUAUGGUGUCAAUAGUGCCGGGACCCCCUUCCACAGUAAGUAGUCAAACAGUUUAAGAACAGUUUGACAACUUACCUGAGAUCUGCUGGGAAUGGGGCUGUAGUAGGGCAUAGGAGCAGUGGUGUGUGUGAGUGGUGCAAUGUGUAAGGGGUGCAGUGUGUGUGUGAAGGUUGCAGUGUGUGAGUGAGGGCGGCAGUGUAUGUCAGGGAUGCAGUGUAUGUGUGGGACAGUAUGUGUGUGUAACAGUUGCAGUGUGUGUGUAUGGGGGGCAGUGUGUGUAUGGGGGGGCAGUAUGUGUGUGUAUGGGGGGCAGUAUGUGUGUAUGAGGGGCAGUGCGUGUGUAUGAGGGGCAGUGCGUGUGUAUGAGGGGCAGUUUGUGCGUAUGAGGGCAGUUUGUGUGUAUGGCGGGCAGUUUGUGUGUGUAUGGGGGCAGUGUGUGUGUGUAUGGGGGGCAGUAUGUGUGUAUGUGGGGCAGUAUGUGUGUAUGUGGGGCAGUAUGUGUGUAUGUGGGGAAGUAUGUGUGUAUGGGGGCCAGUGUAUGUGUAUGAGGGGCAGUGUGUGUGUAUGAUGGGCAGUGUGUGUGUAUGAUGGGCAGUGUGUGUGUAUGGGGGCAGUUUGUGUAUGUGGGGGGCAGUGUGUGUGUGGGGGCAGUGUGUGUGGAUGGGGGGCAGUGUGUGUGUGGAUGGGGGGCUGUAUGUGUGUGGGGGCAGUAUGUGUGUAUAGAGGGCUGUAUGUGUGUGUAUAGGGGGCAGUAUGUGUGUAUAGGGGCAGCUUGUGUGAAUGGGGGGGCAGUUUGUGUGAAUGAGGGGCAGUUUGUGUGAAUGGGGGGGGCAGUAUUGGGGGCAAUGUGUGUGUGUGGCUUUUUUUUUUUAUAAUAUAUAUUUUUUUAAUUUAAUUAAAAUAAAUAUCCUAUGUCCCCCCUCCCUUCUUACCUUUACUGGGAGGAGGGGGGACAUAUUUCGAUCCCUGGUGAUCCCAGUGGGGGAUUCCCUGGUGGUCCCAGCGGGGACAGUGAACUCUAGCCCACGCUCCCGGGUUAGAGUUCACUCUCGCGAGAUUUGAAAAGUUGCCGUGGUAACCGCGGCAACGCUUCAAAUCUCGCGAGAGGAGGACCCGGAGGAGCUGCAGGCUGAGCUCCCGGGUCCUCUCUCCCUCCCUCCCUCCCCUGCCGGCUGUAAGCACAGUGCCUGCGGACCGGGGAGGGAGAGCUCUGAUCUCCCCCCGGUCCGCAGGCACAUUGCAGGGCUAGCACCUGCAUGUGCUGCUGGCAGGGGAGGGAGACCGUCGGAUUUCUCGGGGGGGCAAUUGCCCCGUUGCCCCCCCCCUGGAUCCGCCACUGAUGUAUGCUAUGUGUUGGCUAUGUGUGAUAUUUGUAAUGGGUGGAUUGACUGUGUGAUAUGCUUGUAUUGGUCGUAGGUGAUAUUUUUGCUGGGUUAGUUGGCUGUGUGUGAUGGGUAUUUAAUUCAGCUAAAAAUAUGUUUUUAGGCCUAUGUGUGAGUCCCACAGUCAGAUGCACACAGUUAUACAUAUACACUGUUAAAUACAGACACAUGCACACAGUCACAGGCAGAUAGUCACAUACACAGGAUCAGGUAGAAACAUACAGGUACGGGCAGUUACACACAUACACAGUUACAGGCAGAUAAACACAUUCAGAGAAAGGACUGGGGGCACACCCGAGACCUGCAUUUUGCAUGAAAGGUGCUGCCGCAGUGACCAAACUUCAUACAUGAAAAGAAAAAUUAUUUCCGGCGCACUCAGACUACGAAAAAAAAUAUAACACAAAAAGGCUUCUAAAUUUCCUAUCUAAGAAUAAAUAUGGGGAUUUAGUUCCACCAUAUGGCCAUAUGAUGUUAAGCCCACCACUGCUUUCAAAGUACCCCAAUGUUGGUGGGUCCUACGCUAAAAUGUGUGGGACAUUUAGAAGCCUUCUUUGUGUUGUAUUUUUUGUCGCGUGUGUGUAUGAACUCAGCCGUCUGUGUGUGUGUAUGAACUCAGCAGUCUGUGUGUGUGUGUAUGGACUCAGCAGUCUGUGUGUGUGUGUGUGUGUGUAUGGACUCAGCAGUAUGUGAGUGUGUGUAUGGACUCAGCAGUGUAUGUAUGUGUGUGGACUCAGCAGUCUGUGUGUGUGUGUUUAUGGACUCAGCAGUGUGUGUCUGUGUGUGGAUUCAGCAGUCUGUGUGUGUGUGUGUGUAUGGACUCAGCAGUCUGUGUGUGUAUGGACAGAGCAGUUUGUGUGGGUACGGACUCGGCAGAGUCUGUGUGUGUGUGUGUGUGUAUUUACUCAGCAGUCUGUGAGUGUGUAUGGACUCGGCAGUCUGUGUGUGUGUGUGCAUGGACUCAGCAGUCUCUGUGUGUGUGUAUAUGUGUGUAUGGACAUAGCAGUCUGUGUGUAUGUAUGUGUGUGUAUGGACUCAGCAGUCUAUGUGUGUGUGCAUGGACUCAGCAGUCUGUGUGUGUGUAUGUGUGUGUAUGGACUCAGCAGUCUGUGUGUGUGUGUAUGGACUCAGCAGUCUGUGUGUGUGUGUAUGGACUCAGCAGUAUGUGAGUGUGUGUAUGGACUCAGCAGUGUAUGUAUGUGUGUGUGUGGACUCAGCAGUCUGUGUGUGUGUGUGUUUAUGGACUCAGCAGUGUGUGUCUGUGUGUGGAUUCAGCAGUCUGUGUGUGUGUGUAUGGACUCAGCAGUCUGUGUGUGUAUGGACAGAGCAGUCUGUGUGGGUACGGACUCGGCAGAGUCUGUGUGUGUGUGUGUGUGUGUAUUUACUCAGCAGUCUGUGAGUGUGUAUGGACUUGGCAGUCUGUGUGUGUGUGCAUGGACUCAGCAGUCUCUGUGUGUGUGUAUAUGUGUGUAUGGACAUAGCAGUCUGUGUGUAUGUAUGUGUGUGUAUGGACUCAGCAGUCUAUGUGUGUGUGCAUGGACUCAGCAGUCUGUGUGUAUGUAUGUGUGUGUGUGUAUGGACUCAGCAGUCUGUGUGUGUGUAUGGACUCAGCAGUCUCUGUGUGUGUGUGUAUGGACUCAGCAGUCUGUGUGUGUGUGUGGACUCAGCACGUGUGUGUGUAUGGACUCAGCAGUGUGUGUCUGUGUGUGGACUCAGCAGUCUGUGUGUGUGUGUGUGUGUGUAUGGACUCAGCAGUCUGUGUGUGUAUGGACUCAGCAGUCUAUCAAUAAUUAAAAUUCCUGUGAGUUGUUGUGUAGGAAGGGCCCCAGUGCAUUGCUUUGCCCGGGAGCCCUUAACUCUGUUAAAAUGGUACUGACUGUGUCAGUGAGCUUCUAUUUAGUGAGCAUGUGUGUGUCAGUGAGCUUGUGUGUGUGUCUGAACUUCUUUGUAGUGAGCCUUCUGUUUAUACAAGUGAGUUUGUCUGUAGUAAGCUUGUGUGUGAGUCAGAGAGUUUUGUCUGUCAGUACGCCUAUUUGCGCAUGUAAGUGAGCUUGUGUGCUUACUGUACUAUAUAUAUAUAUAUAUAUAUAUAUAUAUAUAUUGACUUGUAGGAAUGGCACAAUUUUUUUUUCCAGGGCUGCUUUGGAUUCCCAGUUUGGCUCUGCCAGCGAGUGCACUUUACUGCUGAAUCAUCUGUGUGAGCUGCUGCACACUUUAGCCCUGUUACACGCGUCUGGGAGCUGCUGUUGACAGGUACUAGUAGUCUAGAGAUUGGGACAUGGGGUAUAUGCUCAGCUAUCUGUAUAAUACAGAUCUGUGUGUAUAUAAUAUACCGGGAUAGUCAGUGCUUCCUGUAUAGUGCUGCUCUCUGUAUAAUACAGGCCUGUGCCUGUAUAAUAUCCCGGGACAUUCAGUGCUCCCUCUAUAGUGCUGCUCUCUGUCUUGGGAUAUUAUACACAAACAGACCUGUAUUAUACAGAGAGCAGCACUAUACAGGGAGCACUGAGUGUCCCAAUUUAUUUUACACACAACUCUGUAUUAUACAGAGAGCACUGACUGUCCAGGGAUAUUAUACCCAGACAGUAAUUGAUAGCUGUGCUGCAAAAUGUCCUUGGAAAUUUUUUUUAAAUGUUGGCAACUAUGGCACUCUAUCAAGGGUAAUGUGUUUGUUUUUUAAUAAUCCCUGGUGGAAAAUAAUGAAUCCUCCACGAGGGAUUAUUAAAAAAACAAAACACAUUGUGUCGGGGGCGGGGCUUAACAUGCAACAGGGGCGGGGUGAAACUGCGGCGAGGGCGGGGUUAAAUGUGCCCCCCUACUUUUGUUCCUGGCCCUCCAUGUGUCCCCCCUAAAAAUGAAUCCUAGAGACGCCACUGGCUAGAGGCAUUUGCGUGCUUCUUACUGUGAAAAUCACAGUGAGAAGACGCCAGCGUCCAUAGGAAAGCAUUAUGAAUGCUUUCCUAUGAGACUGGCUGAAUGCGCACGCAGCUCCUGCCGCGCAUGCGGAUUUAGCCGAAGAGGAGGAUCGGAGGCGGAGAGGAGGAGGAGAGCUCACUGCCCGGCGCUGGAAAAAAGGUAAGUUUAACCCCUUUCCUCUCCCCAGAGCCCGGCGGGAGUGGGGCCCUGAGGGUGGGGGCACCCUCAGGGCACUAUAGUGCCAGGAAAAACGAGUAUAUUUUCCUGGCACUUUAGUGGUCCUUUAACAGACUCCUAAAAGAACGUCCUUAGGUUAGAAAGUCUGGAGUUCAGAUAAAACACAUUGGCAGAAGUUUGGCACAGUGACGAUACCAUAACUGUGAUUGGUUGUAAACGCAGAAGAAGCCCUUGCAGAGCUUGGAGGUAUACCUGCCUGCCGAGAACGAAUGGUCUAGUAUAGGGGUAGGCAACCUUUGACAUUCCAGAUUCUGUGGACUUCAUCGAGGUGUAAGCAUUGGAGUGCAUGUGCUGGACAGUACACAGGUAGCUUUUAUAACCUGUUGGCUACUACAACGAGGCAUAGUUCCUCGCGCACAGAUUGGGAACUGCUGAUGUGGACUCUUUCAAAUCAUAAUGUCAGUUACCUUAUAGCAGGUUACUGGCUCAUUCCUGUCCCUCUCUAUACACACACUAAGCUCUUGUUGUUUAUUGUUUUUUCUUUUAUAAGCCACUUUUGACCCAAUGUCUUGACUUUUUCAUGUACAUAGCUUUUUUUUUAUUAUACUAGUUAUUCUAGUGAUUUAUAUUUUUGUUGAUACCUGUGAAGGAAUUGAUGACACUGUUUUUUUUUGUUUGUUUGUUUGUUUUUUUAUUGGAAGUGAUAAUUACCUUUAUUUUAGAAAUAUAUUAUUUAAUAUGAAGUAUUGUGUGUUGGAAUUUUGCUCAUUCAUUAAUUUUAGAUUCUCCUGACAUUUUCAAUAAGCUGUACUGUUAGUAGCGCCUGUAGGUUAUUUACCAAGCAAGCUAUUUGAACAUGUUUAUUUAUUUAAUUUUGUCACCCCUUCUGUAUGUAUACUAUUAUAUCACUAUUUCAGAAAUAUUGCAAGAUAAAGGACACUGUAUACUAUCUAAUGUUCUUCAUUCCUCAGAAACGUCAAUACAGGAUGAAAUUAAAUAUAAAAAUUGUAUACAUUUUCAUAAUUUAACUUUUUAAAUUUGUCUGAAAACCAAUAUGUACACAAAAUAGUUUUUGUACUAUAUGUGUUAGUUAUGCAUCCUUUGUUUCAAAUAAUGCUAAUAUUUUUUCAAACAAAAUGUUCUUGGUAGUGAAGUGGUUAAAGCAGGCUGUGUAUAUGGGUUAGGGUCGUUCUACAGCUAGAGGUAACAACAUUCGGCUCCAUAUACACCUCCCAAUUGUCCCAAGUGUUAAGAAAAGACCCCCUCCCUUAUUUUCUGUCCUAAGGUCCCUCUUUCAUAGGGGAUCAGUAUUGUUUGUGUGUCUUGAGUGUAUUCCAGAACAUCACAUCAUUAAUACAGUAAUGUGUCUUUAAAAUGCAAUAAAUGUGUUUAGAAAUCAGUCUGUGUAAAUAAGAUAUAAUAAUAAUUGCUGUUUUUAUGUCACCUAAAAUUUCGCAGAACACCCACUCACACUCCUAAAAUUAAUGUGUCCCUUUUUUCUAUUUUACAUGUUGAAAGGUAUGGGCUAGAUCUGCUGUAAAAACAUACUUCAGAAACGUUUUUGUUUUUUGCUUCUUCUAUCUAACAUUAUUAUUUAAUAUAUUGAUCACAACCGAACUGUUGAGUUUUCAGAAUGUAGAAUAAACCCCAGGAUAACUAAAGACUGUGAUAGCAUUCCAAUACAAAUAACUUUUUUAAGCAAAUAUUGUACAGUUAUUAGUUAUAUACAAGAAAAAUAUACCAUGAAAGUUCAACCACCCGUAAACAAUAUACAGUUAUAUUGUAGAAUAAUAAGUGUAACAAAAUACACAGAAGUACCUAGGUGUCUGCAUAAAUACAAAUAAAUGUGGAACAAAUUUGUUUUUUUUCCCUAGGUGAAGGGUCUACUUAUACCAAUAGUUGCACGUUCCAUUAGUAGGUUAUCUAUUUACAAUCAAGAGCUCAAACUAUGCUGGUUCCUGUUCUGCUUAUUUCAGAGAUAAAGUGCAUCUUGUACCAUAUCUUGUCUAGGUCUGCUGAGAUCGUCGCAGCAUACAGUAAUGUGUGUAAUAUGAGUAUGGCAUUUCUCUCCUUAACGUUCCACAUAAAUUUAUCUGCGGGAAAUCUGUGGUGUAAAUCAACAUAUCUGAAUUCCCCUUUACCACAUCAAAGUCUAACCAUGCCCACGCUUCAGACAGGUUUUCAUAUGUAUAAUAUGGCACCAGACAGGGCAUUGGGUCAUUGUAUGUCGUGAAAAUAUGAAAGAGGAAAUCCAACAAACCUUUUUCUUAUGGUUUCUUUUUCUAUCACUUUUAUGGUUUCAGAAGAGUAGCAGUUGUCAUGAAAGGGUCUCGGCCAGAACGGACAUAAUUAAAAAUUCUAUUUUAGUUCAUGAAUCCAUUGAAAUAUAUAUGACUUGAUUAUUCAUCUAAUUUACCAAAGUGGGCAAGAGCAAAACCUAGUUAAAUACCCAACAUGUAUUGAUCAAGAUAAGUGGUCUGGAAUAGAGCUCGUAAAUAUAAACAAAACAUUCCCAAGAUUUUAAUAUUUAAUAAUAUAUACAACAAUAAUAUUUUAAUAUAUUGUUGUUGACUUAUCCUCUAUAUUUAACAUAUCUGUUUGUAAGCCCUGAAAUUGAGAGAAAAAAAAUUAUAGAAAAUCACACACCUGUAUUUACUUUUUUUGUAAAUCUUUCUUUUAUUGAGGCAUAGGUAAGUUGGGUACAGAAAAGAAGAUGGGGAUACAUAUUAAAUCGUCAUACAUCCAAUUUGUAAUGAAACAUACAUUGAUAUAUCCUCCAAGACAUGGCUGCCUCAUUUUACAGUUAUAGUAUAUAGGCUAAGAGGACACAUCGAAGCUCCCAGUAAUACAGUGGUAGUGGGUAAAGAUAGUAAGCCAGAUUUGUAUUGAAAUGCACAUGGUGGAUAGUAAAUUAAUACCUAGCUAUGGUUAGGGAGUUAUCAGUUCCACCUAUAGUAGAUAAUUAAUAAAACAUGUUAAGCAAAGGUCAGCUGUAUGAGCCUAACACACCGGCAAUACUAAAACACAUAGAUUGAUAAUAACAAAUGUGCCUGGCAAGACAAUUUAUUCUUAACAGUAGCAGAGUAAGUGAGUACAGAUUAGAAUAAAAUAACAGAAGGUAAGUGCUGUCGGAAGGUGUAUUUACUUUUAUCUGGGAACACAGCCCCUCAAUCUGAUAUAUAAUUGCUCUAAACUCUGCUGUUUGCACCUGUCAGUCAGCGUAGACAGAAAAGAAGAUUAACAUAAUUUAGCAGCGAUUUUCAAUGUUUAAUCUAACAGUGUCAUUAAAGAGGCCAUUAGUGAUCUUGGUUGUAGAAGGAAUGAUAUAGGCACUAUCAGCUAUACUUCAUUCACAAAGUAUAAACUAUCCCUCCCUGCUAAAUUAUAUUGCAAGACUAAAGGAUGACUCCAGCCACCAUAGCCACUUCUGCAUUUAGAAGUGGUCAUGGUGGUAGGAGUCUGUAUGUGCAGCGUUUCUACUUAAAACACUGCACAUCCAGAGAUAUCUGCCCUUUUCUGCGGAGGACUAGUUAAACCCCCGGCACCCGUAGCUCAGUACUCUGUUUCAGGCUGUCUUAAAUCAAUCAUGUGCAAAAAUUACAUGCAUAGCGCUUACAACUGAAAGUUUUAGUGUCCCUCCUCUCUGUUUAGUGUUUGACUGUUUUUUCAUUUUUGCUUUAAAUCCCACCGCCUCUUUCUCCCUCACCUUCUUGUCUCAGAGUGUGCACAUGUACUCUUGGCCAAGGAGAAGAGUCCAACCAAAUGCUUCUCUGUGAGAAGCAUUUGAUUGGACCUCGCGAGAGAGGCGGUGACAUUGACAGUAGUUUGGAAACCAUUGCAGAGUCUUCACCCGGCUCUGCAUUCCAGGUAAGUUUAUGCUUAGUUUACAGGGGGGGAUCUAAUUGCUAAUGCCCAACAGAGCAUUGAAAAGUGAAAAUGAGAUGUAUAACAAAGGGGUUGAAGUAAACCUUUAACUCUCAUACCAGGGAGACUAAGGGAGCUUGGUUAUCUAAUGUGUUGGAUUGCCUGGAUCCUAAAUUAUCCAUAGUUUGGAAGUAGUGCAAGGUGUGUGUGUGGUGGGCUGCAAAUUUACUGAAUCUAUAUAUAUUUAAAUAUGUAAUUUGCUAGUCCUUAUCCUGGAAAAAUAUUUUACCUCUGCUCUAUUUAUGAUCAGUUCCAAAGGAGAGACAUUGUUUUUCUUUAUUCAACAGUGAUAAGUUUGUUCACACACUAAUGGAACAUUGUAAAUAAAGAAAGGAGGAAAAUUAAAGUGAGAAACAUUUUGGAUGUACAAGGACCGUACAAGGACAUGGAAGGGGGAAGACGACAAAAAGAAGUUGGAAGAAACCUUUUUGCAGAACCACCAGAGCUACAUCUAUCCACAGCACCCCAUUGUGUAUAUUAACUGACCUACUCCUUAUUUCAACAGGCAGAUCAUAUUUUAGAAUUCCAUAACAUGUAGCUACUGAUAUUAUCCAUGCACAUAUUUAUCAAUUACACAUGCACACCUGUCCUAAACCACUUGAGAUUAUUGGGAGGUUUUUCUUUUAAUAUAUUUGUAUUGGCAGAUCACCCACAGCUCUCCAUAAUGGGUUGCUGUAAUUGAAGCUGAGAAGUAACCAACAUAAUGAAGCAAUCCGAAAACAAGAGUUACAAUCCCAGGCAUUUCCAAAGUGACAAAUAUUGAAAAUAUAUAAAAAAGAUUUUGUCUGCAGCUUUAAAACACUAUACGUUUACCUUUCUUAUGCACAUCUUAAACAUCCUAAAUCAGUUUAAAUAGUGGAGUGCUUCAAAUCACUGAAUCCCAGAAGAUACCUAAAUUAGCAGUAUUAAAAUACUAAAAUAUGAUACAUUCCUCCUUUAACCUCUUAAGGAUGGAGGAAAUUGCCCAAGUUCUGAAACAAAUCAAAACCUAGAAUUUGAGCUAUAUGUCUGUUCACCCAUAAUUUACCUCUCUUAUUUUAAGUGCAGUCGCACUUAUUAUAUAUCAUUUUGUUCAGGAAAAAUUUGGCUUUAAUUUCACAUCAAAUAUGUAUGUAUGAACCAUAAUGUAAUAGGAAUUAAAUCUAAAUAAAGUGUGAGAAUUUGAGAAAUGGUUUUAUUUUCCAACAUCUGCAUGGCAUUUUAACUGUAAAUAUCAUAAUACUGUUAGCUUUUACUGCAAUAAAAUACACAUAUUUGUAUGCGGUGAUGUCUGCCAAGUACGAGGAUGUCCCUUAUGUACAGGUUUCAUGGUGUUUUGGAAAGUUAGAGGGUCAAAUAAAGAGCUUGCCUAUUUCACUUUUUGCACAUCUUACACAUUGAAAUUUGCCAGAUUGGUUUACUGGGCUUGUGUGCCUUUGAAACCAUUCAGCA
rnacentral:lncRNA from 1 species